AGCGGCGGAUGGGUGAGUAACACGUGGGGAACCUGCCCCUAAGUCUGGGAUACCAUUUGGAAACAGGUGCUAAUACCGGAUAAUAAAGCAGAUCGCAUGAUCAGCUUUUGAAAGGCGGCGUAAGCUGUCGCUAAGGGAUGGCCCCGCGGUGCACUAGCUAGUUGGUAAGGUAACGGCUUACCAAGGCGACGAUGCAUAGCCGAGUUGAGAGACUGAUCGGCCACAUUGGGACUGAGACACGGCCCAAACUCCUACGGGAGGCAGCAGUAGGGAAUCUUCCACAAUGGACGCAAGUCUGAUGGAGCAACGCCGCGUGAGUGAAGAAGGUUUUCGGAUCGUAAAGCUCUGUUGUUGGUGAAGAAGGAUAGAGGUAGUAACUGGCCUUUAUUUGACGGUAAUCAACAGAAAGUCACGGCUAACUACGUGCCAGCAGCCGCGGUAAUACGUAGGUGGCAAGCGUUGUCCGGAUUUAUUGGGCGUAAAGCGAGCGCAGGCGGAAAAAUAAGUCUAAUGUGAAAGCCCUCGGCUUAACCGAGGAACUGCAUCGGAAACUGUUUUUCUUGAGUGCCGAAGAGGAGAGUGGAACUCCAUGUGUAGCGGUGGAAUGCGUAGAUAUAUGGAAGAACACCAGUGGCGAAGGCGGCUCUCUGGUCUGCAACUGACGCUGAGGCUCGAAAGCAUGGGUAGCGAACAGGAUUAGAUACCCUGGUAGUCCAUGCCGUAAACGAUGAGUGCUAAGUGU
rnacentral:rRNA from 1 species